rfam:Aedes albopictus isolate Foshan contig113990, whole genome shotgun sequence.
AAAACGGUCCUUUUCAGGACUACUAAACAUUAUCACCAUUAAGAAUU